GAUGAACGCUGGCGGCGUGCCUAAUACAUGCGAGUCGAGCGAACAGACGAGGAGCUUGCUCCUCUGACGUUAGCGGCGGACGGGUGAGUAACACGUGGAUAACCUACCUAUAAGACUGGGAUAACUUCGGGAAACCGGAGCUAAUACCGGAUAAUAUAUUGAACCGCAUGGUUCAAUAGUGAAAGACGGUUUUGCUGUAACUUAUAGAUGGAUCCGCGCCGCAUUAGCUAGUUGGUAAGGUAACGGCUUACCAAGGCGACGAUGCGUAGCCGACCUGAGAGGGUGAUCGGCCACACUGGAACUGAGACACGGUCCAGACUCCUACGGGAGGCAGCAGUAGGGAAUGUUCCGCAAUGGGCGAAAGCCUGACGGAGCAGCGCCGCGUGAGUGAUGAAGGUCUUCGGAUCGUAAAACUCUGUUAUUAGGGAAGAACAAAUGUGUAAGUAACUAUGCACGUCUUGACGGUACCUAAUCAGAAAGCCACGGCUAACUACGUG
rnacentral:rRNA from 1 species